rnacentral:rRNA from 1 species
CAGGCCUUGACAUCCCGAUCGCGGGUUCUUGAAAGAGGACCUUUCAGUUCGGCUGGAUCGGUGACAGGUGCUGCAUGGCUGUCGUCAGCUCGUGUCGUGAGAUGUUGGGUUAAGUCCCGCAACGAGCGCAACCCUCGCCCUUAGUCGCCAUCAUUAAGUUGGGCACUCUAAGGGGACUGCCGGUGAUAAGCCGCGAGGAAGGUGGGGAUGACGUCAAGUCCUCAUGGCCCUUACGGCCUGGGCCACACACGUGCUACAAUGGCGGUGACAAUGGGCAGCAAACCCGCAAGGGGGAGCUAAUCUCAAAAAGCCGUCUCAGUUCGGAUUGGGCUCUGCAACUCGAGCCCAUGAAGUUGGAAUCGCUAGUAAUCGUGGAUCAGCACGCCACGGUGAAUACGUUCCC